AAUCCAUAGGUUAAUGAGGCGAACCGGGGGAACUGAAACAUCUAAGUACCCCGAGGAAAAGAAAUCAACCGAGAUUCCCCCAGUAGCGGCGAGCGAACGGGGAGGAGCCCAGAGCCUGAAUCAGCAUGUGUGUUAGUGGAAGCGUCUGGAAAGGCGCGCGAUACAGGGUGACAGCCCCGUACACAAAAGCGCAUGUGCUGUGAGCUCGAUGAGUAGGGCGGGACACGUGGUAUCCUGUCUGAAUAUGGGGGGACCAUCCUCCAAGGCUAAAUACUCCUGACUGACCGAUAGUGAACCAGUACCGUGAGGGAAAGGCGAAAAGAACCCCGGCGAGGGGAGUGAAAAAGAACCUGAAACCGUGUACGUACAAGCAGUGGGAGCACAGGUUUACCUGUGUGACUGCGUACCUUUUGUAUAAUGGGUCAGCGACUUAUAUUCUGUAGCAAGGUUAACCGUAUAGGGGAGCCGUAGGGAAACCGAGUCUUAACCGGGCGUUAAGUUGCAGGGUAUAGACCCGAAACCCGGUGAUCUAGCCAUGGGCAGGUUGAAGGUUGGGUAACACUAACUGGAGGACCGAACCGACUAAUGUUGAAAAAUUAGCGGAUGACCUGUGGCUGGGGGUGAAAGGCCAAUCAAACCGGGAGAUAGCUGGUUCUCCCCGAAAGCUAUUUAGGUAGCGCCUCGUGAAUUCAUCUCCGGGGGUAGAGCACUGUUU
rnacentral:rRNA from 1 species